rnacentral:rRNA from 1 species
UUCUAUAGCCAUGCCACCCUGAACAAGCCCCAUCUCAUCUGAUCUCGGAAGCUAACCAGGGUUGUAUUGGUUAGUACUUGGAUGGGAGACCACUAGGAAGACCAGGUGCUGUAGGCG